rnacentral:lncRNA from 10 species
UUCACUUUCCCAGUGCAAACUUUGGGAAAAGCUCUGUGCCACAGGCUCCAUUCCUGUUUGCCACAUCACAAAUACCAAUCAUUGCUCUAAGGAGUGGAUGAUUUGAUGAGAAUAUUCAGUUCUUACACCACUACUAGAGGAGGAACACUGACUGCCUUGUCGUGGAUGUGGUCUGGCAGUUUCUGUAGGUAGGAGUGGUGGAUUGUCUCCAAAUGUGGCCACCGACAGUGCCUCCCAUUCCUGUGUGUGCAUGCUGCUUCUCCCACUAGAAGGUGUCUUUUACUUUCCUUCUCUUUGCAUCUGGAACUUGUUUUGACCAGUUGGACCUAGCAG